rnacentral:lncRNA from 1 species
CGUAGUCAUUUUUACUUUAUCUUAUUUAUUCUCCUUCCAGAAUAGUACCAGGAAAUUAUGUUUUGGCUUCACUUCUGAAUCAACAAUGAUGGUCGCCAUCUGCAGAGGAUGAGGGAGAAGGAACAGUUUAGCAUGAGUAUCAGCAUUUCUGAGAGUUCAGUUUCUUUGAAAACCACAGAAGGGAAAAUGCAGUGGAGAACUUGUGAACAACUGGGUCAGGAAAAACUGCGGCUGCUUUUCAGGGCUCUGAUCUAGGAACCCCAGAUGCAAAGACAUGCUGGCGUCCUCUUGCUCAGCCAUUCACCAGGAAACAGGUGAGCCAGCUCACUUCAUCAACCUCCGUGUGCAAUGU